GACGAACGCUGGCGGCGUGCUUAACACAUGCAAGUCGAGCGGUAAGGCCCUUUCGGGGGUACACGAGCGGCGAACGGGUGAGUAACACGUGGGUGACCUGCCCUCAGCUCUGGGAUAAGCCUGGGAAACCGGGUCUAAUACCGGAUAUGACUCCAUGACGCAUGUUGUGGGGUGGAAAGCCUUGUGCGGCUGAGGAUGGGCCCGCGGCCUAUCAGCUUGUUGGUGGGGUGAUGGCCUACCAAGGCGACGACGGGUAGCCGGCCUGAGAGGGCGACCGGCCACACUGGGACUGAGACACGGCCCAGACUCCUACGGGAGGCAGCAGUGGGGAAUCUUGCGCAAUGGGCGAAAGCCUGACGCAGCGACGCCGCAUGAGGGAUGACGGCCUCGG
rnacentral:rRNA from 1 species